CAAUAGCGUAUAUUAAAGUUGUUGCGGUUAAAAGCUCGUAGUUGGAUUUCUGUCGAGGGCAGCCGGUCCGCACUUUGUGCGUGCAUCUGGUUUGGUCUUGGCAUCCUCUUGGGGAACGUUUCUGUGCUUGAUUGCAUGGGGCGAAAUUCAAGACUUUUACUUUGAGGAAAUUAGAGUGUUCACGGCAAGCUUUCGCUUUGAAUACAUUAGCAUGGAAUAAUAAUAUAGGGCGUGAGUCUUAUUUUGUUGGUUUCUAGGACAUACGCAAUGAUUAAUAGGGACAAUUAGGGGGCGAUUCGUAUUAAACGCGUCAGAGGUGGAAUUCUUAGAUUGCGUUACGACGAACUACUGCGAAAGCAUUUGUCCAAGGAUGUUUUUCUAUUGAUCAAGAACGAAAGUAAUGGGGAGUCGAAGAUGAUCAGAUACC
rnacentral:rRNA from 1 species